UGUUAAAGUCCUAUGCUAAGAUUCAGGAUUCAAUUCCUCUGUAUACAUAUAAUGUCUGUUUUUCAAUAUUUUUUAUUCCAUUUUUUAUUCUACUCUAGUUUUUAUUCUCUUUUGACAUAAAUGUUUUUUCUCUUCUUACCUUAUUCUUAUAAUAAAUAGCACUUUAUAUAUACAAUCAUAAAUAUAACAUUUAUAAAUGAAACAUAAAUAUAACAUUGUCUUUUUCUGCAUAGUAAAUAAAUUUGCAAUACUGUAGUAUUCAGUACUUUAAUGUCCAUAGGGUGCAUGAUACAUUGUUAGAAAACUUGUAAGUAGAGGAGUUUAAUGAUGAAAGUUUUGGCUACUGUCAACCUUACAUUCAGAAAACUUAAUAUUUGAGAAAAAUCAUAUUGCUUGCCACAGUACAUUCAUUGGAGUAUACAAUUGCUGAUUAAUCAGUUAGAUAUUGCGCCUUCUUUGAAAACUUUGAAAAUUAUGUACCUAAAAUGUAUCACAAAAAGUAAGCGAUGAAGUAUAAUGGCCAAAUACAGAGUAUGUGUGGCUGUUAUAAUAUAAAAUUAAGUUGUAAUGAAAUGGUUGUUUUAUUUUUUAAUUUUAUUACUGACAUGAAUCGUCAUAACACAAAAUAUUGCCAUUUUUUGGCAUGAUGAGUAUACCCAUCAAAAACAGCUAACUGGUUAAACAUACCUCGCUGCUAUAAACAUCGCCUAUUACUAAGUUGUUGUGACUAGCAUCUCGUUAACAUCUUUUUGCAAAAAGGAUUAACAUAUGUGCAUUGCCAGAGUGUUAGUUGGCAAAAUGAGUUGGUAUUGAUUUGGACAAUAAUGUGAUUACCUAUGGCAUGCUGGACCUACACAGUUUUGUCUAUCUUCUCAGCAUCGGACAUUUAUGAUGGCUGAGACUUUGUUGGAAGACUUCUGUACUCAUAAGCUUGUACCUGUACCUGUAUUUGUUUGCCAAUAAUGUACUUUAUCUCCUAAUGGGAUGUUGCACCUUCAUUUGUACAUUUAGUCAUUAACCAGAUCUUGGAAUACUUGUGUCUUGUGAAUAUGACUUCCAGUAAUUUAAUCCAUAGAAAUAGUGGUUAAAAAUUUGCAAAAUAUCUAAACAUUGUAAGGAAUUGAAAAUUAGUAAAAUGGCAGCUUUUAUCUAAAGCUACUUUUAUUUCAAAGGUAUGGCCAGUGAACGAGGUCAAAAGAGUCCUUCAACCAUAUUUAUAUAAUGAUGUGCCAUAUGAUAGUUUACCAAAAAAAAACAUCUUAUAUCAAAUUUCAUAUUUACCCUAUUCGAUUUAUUAUUCGAUUUACCCUAAGCAUUUACAUCAUUACAUAUAUAUAAUCUGUAAUUCCAUAAAUUUGUCAUCUUUUACGAAAAGAAAAUUGUCAAAAAGUUUAUGUUUAUAAUGUGCCACAAUUUUCUGCAGAAAUUUUUUGUAUGAUCUUUCUCUUUGUUAAACUAUUGAAUAGUUCAUCACCAGAGAAAUUCAGUUUGGGAAUCUCCUUAACCAUAAACUGCUAAGUCAAUAAAUUGUUUAAGGUGCUAUAUACAAGGUGUUAAAAAAACUGGACAAUAUUUUAUGUAAAUCUAGACAUUAAAUCCAAAAAUCAAAAAACAGAUUCACAA